CCGAGAAGAAAGCAGAUGCCUUGAGAGAAGCAGCAUUCAACUACCGCGAUCUGAAGAACAUAGAGUCGGAAGCAUCAUCCUUCCAUGAUGACAGGAGAGUGGCCACACCUAUGGCUCUCAAGCGCAUGCAGGCAUUGCAGGACAAGUGAGUAAGAUGACUGAAAUGUAUUUAACAGAAUAAAAAAUGCUGAAUACCUUCUACUUUUAAAUUCUACGGAACGAUACUAAAUCAAGAAAUCAACAUUCACCUAAUUGUGCUUUCCCUUGUUGUAGAAUUGAACAAGGUAUUCAUAACACUGAGCGAGUAAGGGACAGUGCAAGCGGAAGAUAUAAGGACCUUAAGAUACCAUGGGAAUGGAUGCUCGACUCUGGAGUCAUAAGCCAAGUAUGUCUUCCUUUCACAGUAUGUUCUGUCACAACUCGCAAUAAAGGAGAGGCAUUUAGUUUCACAAAAGUGUGGAGUCCAAAUACAAUAAUAGACAUAUGACACAUGGUGCAUGCCCAUCCUACAUUAAACAGCUAAAGAUGGCUUCCUUGAAGCUUGCAAAAGAGUACAUGAACCGCAUUGUGAAGACACUGAAGUCAGAUCCAUUUGCGAAUGAGGAGGAGCUGCUUCUGCAAGGUGUCCGCUUUGCCUUCCGCAUACAUCAGGUAACUUGUUCCGAACCACGAAUUAAUUCGCAACGACACUUGCAGAAACUAAUUAAUUAACUGACUGCACCGAAACAAAUUUGCAGCUUGCUGGUGGCUUUGACGAAGGAUGCAGAAAGGCAUUUCAGGAACUAAAUACUAAUGCAAGCAAGUCAGAGUGAUCCGAGUUCACGUGGGUUCAAAUAAAAGUCGAGAUCACACAUAGAUAAAUAUGACACACAUAGAUUAUCAAGUUUUGCCGAGGUUGGCUCCAAGGGUCUCCACCAAGACUUGAUGAUGGUGCUGCAUCUUCUAAAGUUUAAUUUAUUUGGCAUCAGGUGCUGAUCUCUUGGAUACAAGUUGAGGCUCUGAAAAAUUUCUAAACGAAUCGUACAUAUGAGCAGUCGAGCACAAACCUAAUUCACCAACAUUCUCCCUCGAGAGUUGAGAUCGUUAGGUCUUGGUCGAUCACCAACACAUGCGCGAAGCAUGACACAAAAAAGCCAUAGAAAUGCAGAAUCGGUUCCUGGUCCGUUUGGUUUGCACUUUGCAGAACGGGAUAGUCUGCCGAACCAUCCCAGCCUAUGACGUUGUUUGGUUUGAGACGCUAGCUGUCCGUCAUGAACGAGCACUAGUGACAUGUUAAUCUGAGGAAAGAGUCCAUCCAGACCACCUCAUUCCGAAUUGACUCUCACGCCGGAUUAAGGCCAACCGGCUAACCAAACACACCGUAGAUCACCCACACAAGAACGACGGCAAGACAUAUGUAAAUUAUGCCAUAAGUACCUGGGUCGCGCCGCUGCCCUUCGUGGGUGGAUUCGCUGCAGCGACAACUUGUCGAUCGGGUGCCUAACUGACGUCAUGUCGCCGCGGCGACGCGCAGCCGCCUGUCGCCGCCGUUUACUUCCCCGCAGGUUUCCACGUUCUUCUUCCCAUGGAGACGGGAUCGGGGACGGCUCGCUACCUCAUCUGGGCCCACGAGCCAGCGAGACGCUCCCGCAGCGUCACCGUCGCGCACCAACUUCCCACUUUC
rnacentral:lncRNA from 1 species